GGCACCUCCCCCGCGGCGGCGGGGCCCGCCCCGGCCCGGCCCACCGAGCCCCCGCGGCGCAGCGCCCGGGUUGGUGCCGGCGCCGCCCCCCGCGCCGCAGCCCCUGCGCCCCGCCCGGCGCGGCCCCGCUCGGCCCGGCCCGGCCGGGUCGCACUCGGCUCUCUGCUCACCCGGCUGUCCCGGCUGAGUUCCGCCGCAGCCAGCCCCGCUCGGCCCGAGGCUCGGCUCAGCCCGAUCUAGCCCAUCUCAGCCCUGCCAGGCCUGGCUCACUUCAACCCAGCCAGGCUCAGUUUGGUUCUGCUUGACGCAGCCUGGCACGGCGCAGCUCCUUGUCCUGGCUCACAAGGCCCAUAGGAAGGAUUUACUUUCCUGUAGGCGAUUAGCACGAUGCCGUGUGUGCAGCGGGGGGGAGAAGAGCUCAGGGAGGCAGCGUUGCCCCCACAGAGCUGGGACCUGAGGUGACAAGGCUCCUCUGCCCAUACUGAUGGGUUUGUCACCUCUCUUGUGGCACUGCAUCUUGCCCUUUACAAGAGUGCAGAUCAAGCCUUGGAGCCAUGGGGUGAGCGCAGGCAUGCUGGUAGCAUAAGGUGGCUAUUUUCAUCAGUUUAAUUUGGUUUUGCUACAGUGCACAGUGCCAUAACUGGAAGCACUCUCCCAACUUGUGGUGUAUCCACAGCUCUAACAUGACAUCUCCUGCCCUGGAAACUUGAUUAGUGCAUAGAGAGUGACAGGAGCCAACUUUAGAAAAGAAGGUUUGGCCCAUAAAGUUGAACAACUAGGAGUGAGUUUUGGUUUUGCUUUCUCCAUCGGGUCCUCUGUGACCAGGCAAUCUUGGGAGAAGAAAUCUGUCUCAUCCAAACACAUCACCUUGCCCUUCUGGCUUCCACAGUCUCCUCAGCUGCAGCAUCUCUCUCCCAUUGCAGCUGGGGAGAUGUCCCAUGUCUGCUCUCACUGUGUAGGGAUAUUCAGACCCUGCAUGACUGGGAUUUCUAAGGAACCCCGUUACCAAUUUGUCUUUCAAGUCUAGUAGAUGAGAUUUAGUCUCAAAGGGGCCUUCAGAUUUCGGAGUGGAAAUUGUAUUUGUGCUCUGUUUGGUUUCAGUUUCUAAGUGCUGUAAAUUUUCUUUUCUGGAAGAGAAGUUGAAACUUGGAAAAAAAAUCUGUGAACUGCUAGUAAUGCGAUGGAGGCACAAGCUGAUGAAGUCUUUGAGGUCUUCUUUAUGGGUGGUUACCCCUAUGGAGAAGCCGUGUGUCCUUUGGAGAUGGUACCAGAAUCCGCAGCUUUGGUGGCAUUCCAAUAUUAUAGUAACACACUUGUCGUUGCUAGAGAUUUGGCCCUAACACCAGAUAACAUGUCAGAGUGCGAGCCUGAUUCCCUCCCCUUGGCAGCCUGUGGCGUGCUUAUUCGGGUGGCAACACUGUCCCCUUCCCACCCAUUCAUUCCUCUGCACAGCACAGUUUGACACCCCCUCGGCUGUGCUAGUGCAUCCCCCUGUUGGAGAGUUACGCUGCUGGAUCUGCUAAAUGGUCCCAGCUAAUAAUACCUCCCAAUUCCUCUUCAUUUUGAAAAGUUAUUCAAAGAUCCAGCUUGCAGAAUGGCAUGAUAAACAUCUUGGCAAAGCUGAGCUGGCAGCGAGAGGAAGAGUCAGGGCAGGAGUAAGCGGUUGGGGGCAAGGAAAUGGCAGGAAUGCCUUCAGCUGCUGUACCAUAAAAGACCAGAUGUAAUGACUUGACACACUUCCACCCAUCCUAUAUCUUUUUUUUUUUUUUUUUUACCCCCAAAUGAUGCUGAGAUUGCACAGACGUCUAACAUCCUUAAUUCAUGCCAAAAAUCUCUGUGGUCAGCAGGACCAUCGACGCACAUGGAGUGGGGAGUGUGGCAUUUAGCAGCUGGCUACUACAGAACCAGAAUAAGGGGAGAGUUAUGGCCACACAAAAAACCCAGGGUGCAUUCCUGUAAUUAAAAGGCCAUUAUAAUGCAUAUACCACUGAGGAGGACUGGAUAUUAAUCAUUGUCUGAUUAAUGCUUGAGAGCUUCACUGUAGGAUCUGAAUGAACUUUUAUGUACUUGUGUUGUGCAUGUGUGCAUUUGCCCCAAUGGCAAGAAGCAAACGUGUCUGAGGCUUGGAAGCUCAAGUUUUACUCAAUCUAGUUUAUCAAGUCAUUUCCUGUGGAUCUGCGAGAUCUCGCAUUUGAUCUGUGCUUUCACUGUCCAGCUAAUUUGGAAGCUACUAAACUAUUUAUUCUCCGAACAAUUCUCUCACUGCACAACUCUCUUACUACUGUGUACAUGCCUUUUGUAUUGAUAAACACUGAAUUUUAUUUCACUGAUAUUCUGGUUACCGUGCCAGUUCUUGUGAGUAGUGCUUUCACAAUGACUGACUUUUCUGAAUAAAAAGGCUCUCAGAGGUGCGAUUUCUGUUCGUGUAUUGUACUGUUUGUAUACAGAGCUUCUGCUCUACACACAGAAUAGCGUUUCCCUGUGAUGCGAUCGUUACGGUACCAAGAAUUAAUUGAUGGCAGAGCUUCAAGACAGCAGCUUCUGCAUUCUAAUAAUUUGCAUGCUAUGACUAUUCUGUGCUUUAUAUUCAACAGGAAUGUUUGUUUUGCAAAGUAAUGUUUUAGCCGUUGCGGAUAACCUGGUAUAUGGAUCUUGUUUCUGCUUGGUCUGAAAAUGGACUUCACCGAGUGCUGAUACACCAUUAGUUAGCAUUUAUUUGGGGCACGAAGCACUGGAAUUUGAAGCGGCAGAGUUUAGGAUGGCAUUUACUGCAGUCUUGCCACGUAGCCUGCUACCUCUACCUGCGCUUGCUUUUAAAACCCAUACCUUCGAGCUGAAAUCUUCCACACUGUUGAUUUGGGAACUUAAAUAUGAAUGUCAGUCCCUUGUUGACUGUGCGAGUUUCAAUGACUUUUCCACUGACUCACUCAGUGACUUUGAAUGAGUGAGGAGAAGUAGAAGUCAGCAGUCCUGAAUCACGCCAUCCUCCAAACAAUUAUCCCCCUCCCCGAUAAUUCUUUUGAGCAGCGAUCAUAUUUUAGAAGCAAUUGUUACAUCUGUGUUUUCCCCCGUUAUAAUCACCCAGAGCUGCAGAAAUGAUCUGCAACUUCUGCAGUCAGCUUGAAAGCUUUCAGAGUUGACACAUUUUGGGAGGCCACCGAGUUUGGAAAUAAAAAGUUGGGUUUUUUUCAGUGGGAGCAGGAUUUCAGUAUGUGGUUUGGAGAAUUGUCAGGAGGAUUUCAGGCACCUGCCAGGAGAAGAGGAGGUGGAGGGCUCCUUGUGGUCUCCUCAGGAUGUCCUUUUGAAGGGUGGUAUGACCAGAGCAGGAAAGCAGAAAGAGACCUUUGCUGCCAGGUGGGCUGCUUUGCCCAAGAUCUGACUAUCCCACUGAUUUCUCCGUUUCUUGAUGUUUUACUAGAACAGAAGAUGGCAACAAAGCUUAUGUGGCCUCUUCACUGCUGCAUGUGUGUGUGCCUCUGUACAACUUUGGAGAUGCUGGGCUGGUGGCUGGAGUGGGAGAAGGGGAAGGGAGGAAUGGGGAAGGACAGUAGAGAACUCCAGAAUAACCCAGUUUAAAUAAAAUAAAUGACUGAUUAGAGGAGCAGCUCGGUGCUUUCAGCUGGAAGCAGAGGUGGAGCAGGUGCUCAGCCCAUUCUGGACACCAUGGGAUCCACCUGGGCAACAGCACUGUCCUGACGGCCGGAGAGGCGAUGACCAGCACGUACAGUCAGCCACGAGUCGCACGUAUGGGACAAACCUGGUUUCAUUCAUAACCCUAGUCAGGAAACCACGCACUCUCCUUCACCCUCUCCCAAAAUAAAAGCAAGGUUUAUUGAAAUGGGUGGAUUGUGAGGAAAAAUGCACUUUUCCAAACCCUUGCUUUUGUACUGGGCAUUCUGAUGUCCGCUUAAUAUUCAGCAGUAUGUGAUUUAUAGCACUCCUGACAUGAUGGUUUGGUGUUUCCUUUGUGUGCAUAACUUCCUUUUGAUAUCAAGGGAUGAUAACAAACCUAAAUGGUAAUCUCAUAAGCACAUGACACAUUGUCUUUGCGGUGCAGAUAGCAGGAAAAUGCUCUGAUCUUGAGUUCAGUGCUUCAGCCACCCCUCCACCCCCCAAAUUUCACCCUGGUGACAGGGUGGCAUUAGCAGGUUUAGUGAGACGGCAACAGUGGGCUGAUUCCUUCAGACAUAGUGAUGCAGGAUGAUGGUUUUUGGGCAUCCCACCGAAGUUGAGUCCAUGGCACAGACUCAGCAAGAUAUGGGUGCACAGCUGCUUCUUGAAUUUCUUGCAUACCUUCUUUUGCUGAAUGCUUGGAAGGAAAAACUGCUGCAAAACCUUCCCAUAUCACCAUGGGUUCCCCAGCAGCGCUUUGCUUCUGUGCUUUCCUGGCUCAGAGCAUGCCCUGGCCCAUCGGAUCAAAAGAGAAUGGCGCACGAACUCUGCCACUGUCACGGGUGAACUGGCAACCUUGGGAUCAGUCCUAAAGCCAGGCUACUUUUGGCAUGAGGCAUGGCUGCUCUUCUCUCAAGAUGCCUUUCCACCCUUGAGAGGUUUCUGCAUUUAUGAUACAGCUGUUUCCAGGGCCUCAUGGGAGCUGAAUAAGCACACACCAAAUAAUCUGGUUUUCCUUCAGGGAACACAAAAGUGGAUGGAUCUGGGGAGAACACUGGAGCUGUGCAAACCUUUUCCUCUUCUCCUUGGGGAUUAUUUCAAUUAGGCUUGAACCCUUAAGUGUAGUUUAAGAAAGUUGCUUUCUGAUACCCAAACUCCACUCGAUAAGCUGUAUUCCUCCCUUUCUUGCAUAGCUAAUGGGAGGCCAUCCCUCCCGGAUGCCUGUAUCACCUCUUUCGCAAGGCUCUUGGGUCAGCCUCAGCUCGUGACAGGAUGAACUGUCAUCUCCUUACAUUGGCAAAACCAGUUUUUGUGGCUUGGCCUGCUUUUCUCACCUAGUGUCUUGCUGUGAGAAAAGCGCUCUUGUUCAGUAUCUGAGCAGUUAUAAUUGCAGGUUUACCCAGUCCAGGCCCAGCUGUGGCAGAAACGCCCCCACAGGUAUUGAUCUGGAAAGGCUUCUAGAGUUACAUGAAACUUUUGAAAUAUGGAAAUGAGAACACGGCUGGGUCAUGCGAUUAGUGGCGUGUGGCACACAGGGGAAACAAGUGGAACUAGUGAUGUACGUACCUGCCUGUAUCCUCCUUAACCCAGCCCUCGCCUUCGGGGCUGCUCAGCGACAGCGACCCACGCAGUCCUUUACAGACGCUUGACAAAAUUUAAUUUCAACGAAUAGCAGUCCACCCUCUUCUCCAGGCAGAUAUUUUCCCUUGUGUCAACGUCCUCAUAGCAACUCCAGCUAGGCAAAUAUAGGACGUGGCUUAUGAGUGUCCCAGAAGGGCUCAGAGGUGGAGAGUUGGAGCUAAAGAAAGUUCCUGGUUAACUCCACACACCACUGGAGAGCUUUGCCAGGGAUAAGUCACAGAACAUGAUGAAGAAGCUGAGAGAGUUUAAUGGUUCUGCAGAGAGCACCACCUUAGACACCAUCCUCCAAGACACUCGCAAUGCUGUUCCUGAGGAUUCCCAUGGAAAACAAUCAUACGCUUCUUUUGUGUCCUUAUAAUCACGAACAUAUUAUGCUUCCCUGGCUACUUCUAAGGAGAUAAGUACUUAGUCACCCCACACAUAUCUUUUGGGACUCUACAUAUACUCCUGUAUGUAUUCUGGCUCUGUCUACAACGGAAUGAAGACACACGGCUCUGCUCUGUGCAUAGUUGUUAAUAGAUGCUGCCAUUUGCAGAAACUGGGCGCAAGGCCUUUCAUGUGCUCACCGCCAGCCGCAUCUCCAGCACAGUUUGCUGCCAGGAUUAACAAAGCCCAGAAAUGCAAGCCCAGGUUAUGACAGCUUCACGCCUGCAAAGCUAAAAGCAUGGGCUUGCCUCCCCAGAGCUCGCAGCCUGCUCACAAAACUCCCUUGUUUUAGAUAGGAGCCCCUCCAGUCUCUUAUUAAAAAAAAAGGCUGUUUAUUGCUGGGCGCAUGUUCUGACCUUAAAAACUAAAAGUAAAAACAAUCCAAGAUAUGGGGCAUACUGAAGUGGCAACUGAAGGGCUUUUUUUGUUCAUUCUACAGUUAAUACCAGCAAGCUAAAAUUGCAAGCGGGGAGGAGUGGGGGUUAAUUUAAGGUUUAUUGUGACAAAGAAGAAUUAUUUAGAAAGUGCUGGAAAAGCAGCAAAUGGAAGACAUUCUGGAAAAUAGGCUUCGUUUCCCUAGUCAGGAGUACUUAUGUUGUAGGGACUCUGAAGGAACUCUAGAUCCAUGGCAGGUAAACAUGUGCCUUUGAUUCUGUUUUUCUCUUUGAGUCUAUAAACCCCAGCAUUUACACUUAAAUGGGUGUGCUGAAAGCUGUGUUAGGAAGAGAAUUUCAUCCCCUCCUGCAUGUACUUUUAACACAUGAUAAUUGUUUGACUGCAACUUUACAAAGUAUGGCUGGAGGGGUGUUUUUUACAGGAGGAGUUGCAUGGCAAUGAUGAUAACUGCCUGAUUCAACGCCACUGAAAGCAGCUGUAGCUGUAUUGGACUGUCCAGAAGAGAUGGUUUAUUUUAAAGAGCCAUAAUGUACCUUCGGUGGCUUAUGGCAAAUUCCUGCCUCCUGAUUUCACCCAUCAGAGAGGUCCCGUUGAUGACGCGGAGCACACACGUGUGUGCCAGGACCACACUUGUCUUCUGGGCCACACGCGUUCAACAUGGGCAUUGAUCUCUGCAGAAUUACAGGCCUUGCUGCAGAAAGGUUUUCAGUCACACUACAUUUCUGGGGGAACAAAGAACAAGGUCAACAGUGUCCAGACACCUCCUAGCUUCUUACACAUGCCCAACUUGGCAGUGCUGUCUGGCAUUUUAAGCUUUUAAUCACUUUUUAUUUUUUAAACAGCUUAUGAAGAAGACAUUUUGGUGACUGAUUUUUGUUUAAUGCCAUCGGUUUUGUCUUCAUCACACUUAUCAAAGAGUCUGGGCUCUUCCUUUAUUUUUUGCUUUCUGCUUCUUCUCUCCCACCAGAUAUGUUCCUCCCAUACAACGUAGUCCAAACCUCAUCGAGGGGCGACAGAAUUACUCUAACCGCAUUACCCACCUGCAUUACCUUGCAUAUAACUGCUGCUCCUUGCACCAAAGCCAUUAACACUCUACCAGUAUUUAAUUUAUUACCACGAAAAAUUAUCUGCUUAACUGUGACAUGGAAAAGCUGCUUAUAAAUCAGUUCCUGCUCAGCUCUAAAGAGAUUUGGGUCUUCUCUGACAUUUCUGAGUCUAAGGAGUUAACAGAGUUCUCCUACAAGAUCUGAUCAAAAGCCUAGGAAGUUGCAGUCCAAAUUUGGGCCCUCUCCUCUCUCGGGGUCACAGGCAAACCAGUGUAAGUUUUGUCUCCUUGAAGGAAGGACAGAUAGCUGUCUUGCUUUAAAAUCCUGAGGGGGACGCGGGGUGCAAAGCAGAAGUGAUUUUCACCUCACUGUAGCAAGUCAAGGGCAACUUUAUCCCUUGUGCAGAUGGACGUCACCUCUGCUAACAAUGGGAUGAGCAAGGCACCCUUUGAGAAAGUGCACCAGAGCCCGCUGCCGUCUGCUUUAUGGAGAAUACUAACAGUAGAAACGACUUUGUGCCAUUACUGUAAUACACAGCGAUCGCUGAAAUCAUGUCCAGAGCUGUAGUUGACCAUAAAAUCUGCUAUACCUGAAAGAUGUGGAAGCUUUGCAGUAGCGUUGUUUGCUGCACACAGUUACCCCACAAGGGUCUUUGGCCUUUUAUCAAUGGCACUUCAUUAUACAGUAUUGGGGGGAGAUAAUCACCGAGGAAUGUGAGAUCUUGAAAAAUGAUAAUCACCCAGGUAAUAAAUGAUAUAUGGCAACUUUUGAUAUAGUUACUGCAUCUGUGUAAUUAUAUCUGGUCUUACAUACUAGUUUUCAUUAGUAUCCUGCACAGUUGUUUGUAAGGGCAGAAGAAAUUACAGCCUAAGGAGAUGCUCAGGUGUCAGGGGGAGAGCUCACACUCAGGAGCACUUGGGAGUCAUCUAGGACAGGAAAACAAAAUCCACUUGAGCUUAAUUCCCUGUGCUUAUUUAUGUGUGUCUAAUUGCUUGGCUGUAAGUGGUAUUUAAAUCACCUAAACCCCUCCGUUCCUCUGUAAUUUACUAUCAGAAAGGAUACAUAUAAAUUCUAACAUGCUUGUGAGACAUACUAGAACUACUCCAAAACUUAGGAGAAUUUUGGAGUGAAGUUGAAUGCUUCGAGCCUAAAUACCACGUGGUUUAUUCUCUUCUCAUAUUUUAUAUCAGCAUGGCUUAAAAUGAAAUGCUGCUAUGAGCUGCCCCAUCAAACUGAAUGUGUUUGUAAUAGUUUGCCCUGUGUGGCCUGAGUAAAAGUGUUCCAGUAUGCAUUUCCAGCCUUGGAAAAUUCUUUAUGUCCUGAUUUCCAAGUUUGAAAAUAACUCUCUACAGAUGAAACACAUUUUCAACCAUCCAAAAAAAAUGUUUUCACCUACAAAUACUUUUUGCUGCCUAAACAAGAGCCCUUUCCUUUGCACUUGUGCCAACACGUAACUUGGAGAAAGAAUUAAACUUAAGUUCUUAGCUAGAAUGCUUCCCCCGACUUUUUUUUUUUUAAUAAUGACUGUAAGACAUAUGCUGUCUGUCUUCUGCAUUUAAAUCUUUCUAAUGAAGGUGUGUUUGAAGAAGGCACACCCUUCAGAAAAUGUUUUGUGGUAUCAUAUUUGUGCCUCUAGUGUUGAGGACCAGCUGCCUUUUCAAUUUUAAAUGCACUUUUCAGGGUCUUACAUCACAGAGGUCUAAAUUAAAAGACACUUACCAUAAAGGGGUGCAGCAUAUGCAUUAUUCCUGCAAAUUGCACUGCGACAUGAAAGAUAUCCCAACACUGUAUGUAAUUUUGAAGAUGAGCAAGGCUUGGCCUUUCAGAUGUCCCACGCGAGGGAAGCACCCACAUCCCGCAAAAUUGCAAGCUUCUGAAUCAUGAAGUCAGAUCACAAAGCCUCUAAUUCCCACUGUUUUGAAGACCUGUGUGACUGCAAAAAUUGAUCCCAGUGCUGAAUCAGGGGUGGCCGAGCGGCUGAGAGCCUGUGCGGGAACCCCUGGGGCCAGGUACCCUGCGUGACCCAUGAAGCUGCAGAGCUCAGCGAUGGGGUAACUCUCCCUUCCUGCCCCUCAUCUGCUUCUCCCCAUGGUUUUCAGGCUUGGGGAUCAAGGUCUGGUGACUCCCUGUAGUGUGAAGAUUUGUAUUAGUGGCUUGCAGGCUGAGAAGGGGUGUUCAUGCCUGGUGCAAAGAAUUAUUUGUUUAGUUCUAGGCGGCUUUCUCAUCAUAGAAUGUCCCGAGAUGGAAGGGACCCACAAAGAUCAUCGAGUCUGACUCCUGUCCCUGCACAGGACAACCCCACAGUUCACACCAUGCGUCUGAGGGUGUUCUCCAGUCUCUUCUUGAACAUUGUCAGGCUUGGGGCUGUGACACCUCCCUGGGGAGCCUGUUCCAGUGCUCCACCAUCCUCUGGGUGAAGAACCUUUUCCCAAUGUCCAACCUGAACCUCCCCUGGCACAUCUUCCUGCCAUUCCCUCAGGUCCUAUCUGUGAUCACCAGAAAGGAGAGCUCAGCGCCUGCCCCUUCUCCUCCCCUUGUGUGGAAACUGAAGGCCACAAUGAGUGUGGUCACAUAGACCAGGAGUAAUACCACUGGUGCCUUUACUUUGUAUGUAUAUACCAUGGUGAGACCAGCAGCCGGCCUUUAACAUAGCUCCCUGAAGGUCUGCAGCUAUAGAAACCUUGCCACAGGCUGUGCAUCCCUGCAGAACCAAGGUCCUCCUUUCUGGGUUUGUGUGGGAUUGAUGCUUAAUUCAUUCUUCAGUUCUAUGGCUCCUGAGUAGUUUCAGUGAUCCAUCAGCUCCAUCAGGCUGUGGGUAUGCAGAGGGACCCCCAAAUUCCAGCCAGUGUGAGAUUUCCUCUUUUACCUCUAUUCGGCUGCAGUCUUUACUUGUAACUCCCUGUUGGGGGGAAUGAUUUUGCAAUCCGUUUUCAAGUACCAGACAUUGGCAAUCCUUCUCCUAAAGGAUCGUGGUUGGAGAGUAUCCUGGGCUAAUUUAGGAGGUGCAGUGCUCUCCCGUGUCUAGACAUUUCAAUAAAUGUUAUUCAUCUGCCUGUGGGGUUACCGGGCUCAACACAAAUAUGCUAGCCAAGCUCAAAAGGAAGAGGAAAUAUGGGAAUAUUCACUGCCAGAAGACACUGCCUCCCUUGACAUUUUCAUCUGCAAAACAAUGGCUUUCAGAGAGUUCCAAACUGGAAGGUGUUGUUGACCUUUUUCCUUUUCCUCUUUUGACUUCUGUUUCCUGUAGGUGAGUCUCUGGAAUUACUUAAUGUUGUCAUCAAGUCCUAGGGAUUCCCCUCCCUGUCCUCUUCCAAUUGUGCUACAUCUCCCAAGUUGCCUGCGAUGCACAAUUGCUGAGGGAAGAUAUUUCUGUUUAAACUGAAAUGAAUACAAGAGCUGCUCCUCCCAAAGGAAAUGUUGUUUUUCUUUACUUGCACAUCCUCAAAUAAUUCUUAUUAUAAAUCUUUGAUCUGUACCUGCGUAGGUCCACUUGGAACUCCCCAGUUUCCUAUAAAUUCUGAUUUACUCUCUUUCUGAGUCCGUGGAACCAGAUACUAAAUCAGUCUUACUGAAAGAAAAAAGAAAAGAACAAUACAACCCUAAUUGAAAUACUUUGCUGAAAAAUGUCUCAAUGUAGUGAUUUUUGAAACAAAAGCCCAAGAAAUAUUUCUUGCUUUUCUAAAAUAGGAAAAAAAUGCAUGCGUGUACCCCUUUGGUUGGAGUGGAGCUUGCAAAGUCUGAUACGUUGUACGCAGCGCCAGCUUCAGAAAAGGAGAGCUUGGCUUUGUCUUUGUGUGUACUUGUGUGUCUUUGUGAUCAAUAAUGUUGGGUCACUCUUGGGAAGUUUUGCUGGGAUGUUAAGGAGAAGGUGGCUGUGUCAGGCACUAAGGUCUCUCCUUGGGAAGGGUUGAAAUCCAGCUGCUUGCUCUCAGGUGCCCUGAACCCCUCUAUACCCUCAGGGGCUCUGCACCCCACUUCUCCCUGACUCAGGGCAACCAGAUGCCCAAGGCUUGGGUCCAUCCCGGUGUCCUAACAAGUAUCUUUGGGACAUAUUUUGUCCCAAUUUUGCUAUCUGGAUAUGUGUUUUUCUCUCAACAAGCCCUUCUUAAUCUUCAAUGAACUGAGCUUAUUCCAUGCCAAGCAGCCAGGACUCUCCAACACGUUACCCUCCCCGAGUCUUCCUCCCUUCGCUGCUCCUUUCUCCCUUCAGAGUCAUCACUCAACUAAGUGCCUCAUAAUUUCGCUGCACUUAUCCCCCUGCUCUCCCAGAUCUCGAGGGAUAAAUUCCCUGUCAAUCCCACGCGGAGGGAUCAUUCUCAUGUAAGCAGCAUCUUUCGGGUGCAAGGCAUGGGACUAUAAGACAAGAUUCCCUGGCUGAAACCCGUGUUCGCCUCCACCGCGUGAAAAUGAAAGUAAGCUUGGCCACAGCAAAACCACAGAGCAGCAGUGGAGCUUGCUGUGUUUGCGGAGACGGUGUAAGGCACCCAAAGCUUUACUUUGGAUUUUCAGAUGGUGCAAAAUGCAUGGAUGUGUCCAUCAGUGAGACCUCCAGAAGGACAAAAUGCCACUGGGAUCCCCACUAUGAAGAGCUGCCCUGAGGUCGGUGUCACAGGAUUUCCGCAAGCUUCUGCUUAUCUUCUAGACAAAUCUCCUGGGGAGGAAACGUCAGGCACCGACACACAGUCAGCCUUAGCAGACAGUGCGGCUGCCUUAUUCACCUAUCUUCUGAGAAGGAUACUUAAAAUGUAAAUAGAAAACUGGUUUUAAGAAGUGGAGUGUGUCUAGCAUGAAGAGGUAAGAAUUAUCCCUGCUGGAAUAACCUUCUUUUUGCUGGGAUUAUAUUGAGGAGGAAUCUGGUCUGCUGCUUGGCAGCUCUGCGCACAAGCUGAAUGGCGGCAUCGUUGGUGGUUGUUAUUAACAUCUAGAAAUUAAUUCCCAACCUUAGUCACUUCAGGUGAUUUACGCUUGAAAAGAUCACACAGCCCAGUAAAUUUGGGCAGGAUAAAUAAAGGAACACCAGCCCAAACUGUCUUCUGUCUGGCAAGGACUAGGGUUAGUCAGGUUUCUUGGCAGAGCUGGGCUAUUCACUGCUUUAGUCUAACUCCCUGUAAAGUCCACGUAGAGGUGAAGGAUUGUGGGCAAAACCCGCUGACUGGUCUCUCAGCUCAGAGAAGUGCCCGGAGGUGGCUGUCACGGCUUGCUGGGGCUCAAGGUAGGUCAGGUUCUUCGGGACAUGGUUUAGCACCAGUGUUAGGUUAACAGGUGGAGUCGAUGAUCUUGAGGGUCUUUUCCAACCAAAAUUAUUCUGUGACUCUGUGGUUCUAAGGUGUCGCAGAGAAGGAAGCUAAAGCAUCUGGCAGAACUUGUCAACCUGUGGGAGAUGUGCCUGUGAAGGUGCAGGUGCAUGUUUGCUGCUGUGUCCAGCUGCUUGCCACAGCAAGGUGAAAAUGAGCCUGAAAAUCAGCUUGAAGAAUGGAUUUUGAAGGGAGCAGGUCAAGCCACCUAUGGGGACCGCAGCCGUAGGAGUGACUCGGCCAGCACAGCUGCAGUUGGAGCAGGAGGACGUGUAUCACAGAAUCAUAGAAUGUCCUGAGUUGGAAGGGACCCACAAGGAUCAUUGAGUCCAACUCCUGGCCCUGCACAGGACAAUCCCAAAUUGACACCAUGUGUCUGAGGGCAUUAUCCAGCCUCUUCUUGAACACUGUCAGGCUUGGGGCUGUGACACCUCCCUGGGGAGCCUGUUCCAGUUCUCUGGGUGAAGAACCUUUUCCUAAUGUCCAACCUGAACCUCCCCUGGCACAUCUUCCUGCCAUUCCCUCGGGUUCUGUUGUUGGUCUCCAAAGAGAAGAGCUCAGCGCUUGCUCCUCCUCCUCCCCUUGUGUGGAAGCUGGAGCUGCAAUGAGAUGUCUGCUCAGUCUCCUCCAGGCUGAACAAGCCAAGUGACUUUAGCUGCUCCUCAUAUGGCUUCCUCUCCAAACCCUUCACCAGCUUUGUGGCCCAUGUAUCUCCACCCGUAUUCUCCUGCUGGGAAAGGACCACCUGGGAGGCAAAGCCCAUCUCAGCAGGGACCUGCUGGGGAAAUAGUUGAUACUGAAACAAUUCCCCUGCACCUCUUGAAGCGAAUCAAGUGGGCUGCCCAGGGAACGACUCGUAUGUUAAGCCCAUCAUACUUGCUAUCAGAUUUUUUGUUGUUGUUGAAACCCCUACAGAGAGCAGCACGUUUUGAGGAGCCUUGUUCCAGCAAGCAAACUUCCCUGUGGCUUCCUGCUGGCCUGGGAGGAUUAAUUUCUGGGGAUGCUUUACCUUUUCCAUGCCAACUCGACUGGAGCUACAUCUCAAGACGGUUCUUUGAUAUCCUAUACAAAAGAUUGUUCCUUGUGGUGUCUUUUUAUUUGGGUCAUGAAAUAAUAUCUUUCUUCAAAGUUUAAUCUGAUUAAAACACAAAGAAUUAGGAUGGGGGACUGGAUACGUGCAAAGUAGUAUUUACGUAUCUGUUUCUUUUGUUAAUAGACAGGCCUGCCAGUCCCGCAAAAAGUUAAGCAUGCAUUUAAUGUUCCCGGUGGCUAAUCCCAUGCAAGUCUACUCCCAGCGUAUAGUCAAGCACACACGUACAUCUGUGGGAGGCACAGACUGCACGGCCCUAAUACGGAUGUGCUGACUUAGGGCUGUCGCGUGGUGAAUGUUUGCGUGUCUGGAGCGUCUCAUCAAACCCAAGGAUGCAUAAACCCUCACUGUCUGGAUCUACAAGGUAUUAAGUAGGACUUGGAAAAUGGAGGGCUGGCAGGCACAAGCAAGACGUUACAUUUAACGAUGUGAAAUAAUGGUAGAAGCCAGGCACAGAGUCAUUAAAUAACGGCUUUGGUUGUCCAUUAUUUACUUCAGCCUUCCUUCUGCCUCUGCGAAAUGCUGACUCCUGCACUGUCUUACUAGCACUGGCACAGUUGCCAUCACUUCUUUUCAAAUGGACACUUUUUAAUAUUUCUAAAGCAGGCCUAAAACGUACACAAGUAUCAGUGUUAGGCAGAGAGAGGGAAAGCCGAAAGAUAAUGCAGUAUACGCACAUCGUAAGGCAUGUGCCUUAUCUCUCAGUAAAAUUGGUGAAUUACUAUCAGUGCCACAACAGCAUUCUCAAUUACUGCAACAACUUACAGCCUUUGAUACAAGACCACCAGAAUUUUUGACUGCAAUCUGAUAAAAAGCCAACUGUACCAAAGCAGCAAAGAGAUUAAAAGCAAAACAAACAGCUAAAGGAAAUGAGGGGGGGGAAAACCCUCAAUAAAUGAAAAACUACAGGCUCAAAUUUGAAUUAAAUGAUGUAUUUUUUACUGAAAGCUGUCAGAGUAUAUUACAGUACUGUCUUGAAGGCAGAUCUGUUGCCCAUGUGAGACUGGAGUGACUUACACCGGUGUGUAGGUACUGCUGUGCAAUUAAAGGAUCUCUAAAGCAUCUGUGAUUGUGAAUCCUUCCUUCCUUCCUGCAAGGAACCCAUAGACCUGUAUACCUGGGGAGAUAUGCUGGGUUUGGCUUUCAGUUUAACCUGAAGCAAUAGCCAGCCUGAGGCUGCCAGAUUGUGUCUGGUUUCAGAUCAAACCCCUGUGAAAGCAGUGAAUUGAGUAUGAUUUCCACUCAAAACCAUAAAUCGGUCUUGAUUUGCUUGAAACUUUGCCUGUAUUUUUUUCUUUCUUUCUUUCUUUCUGAACUUGGCCUGUGUUCUAGGUUUGUAACAAAACCUAAACCAAACAUCCUCGAGUUUCAGGUUUAGUUGUAAAAGUUUAACACAGAAACCAUUUUCCUCAGAGGGGGGGAAGGGGGAUGCUGGCCUGUGUGCUAAGGCUGAAGUUCAUUUUUUUAUUCUUUUGAGAAUGAUGGUGACAGUCUGUAAUUUCUACCUUAAAAGCAGCUGGAGAAGAGGCUUUGGCUCAACAUACGAUCUGAAGGGCAGAAUAGAGGAGGAUGACCAUCAAGUCCCCACUUCCAUCUCCAGCCUGGUUUUUGCAUCACUGUUGGCAACGGGGAGCGCAUCAGUGCAGAGAAGCCCCGCUGUCUCGCUGCUGUGCCGUUUAGCUCAGACCAGCACAGCUCUGAAUCAGGGUCAGAAUUUGAUAGCAUGGAGGCCAAAGAUAGCAGGAGGACAGAUUUUUGCCUGGCACAUGGUAAGAUCUGCAACUGGGAACCAUGCCACCACAAGGGAAGGAGCUGUAAGAAAUGGGAGCUUCCAGCUUACGCUGUAUUCGUGUCUCACCAGGAGUGAGGCUUUUCCUGUACAAAAGCAAGAUUCCAUCCAUUAAUCGCUGGCAGUAUUUUGUCUUUCUGUGAGAUAGGAGCUUCCAAUUGCUCUUGUGUUUCUCCCAGCAAGAUUAGCUUCACAUUUCAGAAAAAGAGUCCAGGCUGGCAUGUUACCCUUCCUCUGGUCUGCCAGGGAAACCAUCAUUUUCACAUUAGCCUAGUGCUCCAUGUGCCAUCUUAUGUGGUGUGAGACAGAUCUUUUUUUUUAAACAAACAAACAAACCCCAACAAGAUUUCUACUGAGCACAAGGUCAAAGGCUGCAGGAGAUAUUGUUUGCCAUGCUAAAACAUUGCUGCCGUCUCCGAUGAGCACAGAUAUGCUGUGUGGUCCCUAAAGCUUUUUGACCCAGAGGCGUGAACGGUAGCACCAGAGCCCUCUUGGUGUGCCUGGCUAUAAUCACAGGAAGCUCAUUCAUUACUCAGGUCCUGAAGAUAUGGAAGUCUUGGUAAUCACUUUGGAGGGGAGGGGUAAAUUAAUCAUUUCCUUUUACACUUGUUGAUAGAGCAAUUCAUUCUGUCAUGAGAAAAUUUGGAAGUGCGGGGGAGUUUCAGUAAACUGUGAGUAAAACCUGAGAUUUCAAUCAGAUGUUGCGGUCCAGCUUUGCUGCUGCAUUUCCCUUUCAUCUUGCUUCCCGUCCCCUCACAACAGGGCCUUUUUCAGGGCUAAGACAUGCUUUCCAGAGCUGUGCUUUUGAGAUAACCAGGGUGAUAGAUAACUUUUCAUCCAGGGAAUGGACUGGGAAUGUAGGGAAGUGCAUCUGCUGUCCUCAUUCAGGGCACCGGAUGAGAUCCUGCAGAAAAAUGCCCAAGGCAGUACAGCUACUGUUAUCUGCAGCCACCAGCAACAAAAGCAGAUUAGAGACCUCCUGUGGAAAGAAGUGUUCUGGGUAGUUGGGUAAAAUCCUUUUUGCCUCUUCCUGGCCUGUUGGGCACAGCUGAACUCUUGCAACUUACUGUUACAAAAGAAUCUGAAAUAAUGCUCCUUUGGCUGCUACCCUGGGCCAGUUUCACAGGACGGGUGAAGUAGUGCCCAUCUCCAUCUCUCUGUGUCCUUCUCCUGGCAGUGCCUCACUCUUGCAGGGAUAUUUUAGCCUCUCCAGAGGCAGCUGCUGAAAUAUUGUUGAGCGUAGAAUUGGAAAAGAAGUAAGUAGAACUGAAGCUGGGGCUGGGCUUCUGUUUUGUUUUGGGUAGGGCUUUUUUGCUACAUCAGGCUUUAAACUGCUAAUUCUAACAAUGACAUUUCAAAUCAUAGUCCAGUAAUACCACCAUGUGUUUUAGGGAUAUUGCUACCAUGGUGGUUUUAGAUGCUUGUAUAGGUCCUACCCAUUUUGGUGGGGCGUGUACACAAAGAACCUCCAAACUACUUCAUAACACUAAGGUCUGAAACCAGAGAUCAUUAGCAAAAUGUUCUGUGUCAAAUCCAUUUAGACACCCUACAUCAUUUAGAUAGAGCAGUUGUCACAGGAAAUGAGCAGCACCUUUACACGGCUGUUGUAUUAGAAGAACUUGCUGCUUAUUUUGCCUAAUUGCUUACCUGUCUGCUGCAAUCUCAUUAUGCUAAGUACAGACCUUUUUAAAGCUCCUGAUAGUGGCUAUUUGGUAGGGUGGGACUGGAUGUUAUUUAAAUCAGAGCCAGGAUAAAAGGAGCAAUUAGUGUUUCCUGAGACCACAGGAUCACCUUUCAGUUGCACCAGGGGGAUAUAAAGCUUGGUCGUUAAUUGGGAGGGAUGAAACCUCAAGGCAACAGAUGCCAUUGCAUCUAGGGUCAGUUGCAAAAGAAGUCAGAACUGUGUGCUACAGGAGUUUGUAGUCUGCCAGGAUUGCAUGAGUGUCGCUGCACUUUCCAUUGACAAAACACAGCUAUUAUUAUUUUUAAAAGUUAGUACAGGUGUGAAAUGAUCUUUUUUUAGACCUUUUCUCCUCAAAGCACUGUAUCUGUAUUGAGGCAGUGAAAAUGUUACAUGCUACCAACCCAGCAUGUUAGGCUAUAGAGCUGACAAAGGGGUUUUAAGUUAAUCCAGCUGCUUUGGGAGUGCUCUGAUACAGAGCUGACCUCUGGCUUCACCUUGAUGACAGACAGCAGAGAGUGGUCCCAUCAAAAGAACUUGGUACUUAGGUGUUUUUAAGCUGAUGUAAAUGCUCCUUCUCACUCAGGCUGUAUUGGUACAACGCUUUGGAUAUUUAUAGUUGUCAGUGGGCAAACCCCUGCUCUGGUGUUGCAGAGACCUUGACAAAUUAGGCUCAGGCAGUACCAGCUGGGCUGAGCUUGAAGUGACAAAAUGUUGGCCAUGCAAAUGCAUGUUGGUUGGGCAUUGGUAACCCCUGUGCUUGCCAGGACCUAUUGCUGUAAGGCAGUAGCCACAGCUGCUCCUUCAUCAGUCAAUGCCCAAAAUCUGGACUGAUUUUGCCAAACCAUUUGGUUUCUGCUCUUGCUCUGGUUCUUCAUAUCUUGAGGGAAGCUUCUGCUCUUCAGCUCUUGCUCUCUGCCUUGUAUUCCUGAGUGCUGCUUCCAAUUAGUGCAAGCGGUGGUCUUAUCAGCAGUUCAGGUAUGGAGGCUGCAACAUGGGGGCAUAGGAGUGGGAAGGAUUUCCUUGCUCUGCCUGGAUGGGUCAUGGGGCCUUUUUGGUGUACUGUGGAGCACCAUGUCCAAAAGGGUUUUUGAAAAUUGCCUUUCUGGGAAGCUCACAUCAUAAAGAUAGAUCUUAUUCUGGUAAUAUGAUGCUUUUGCCUGUGGGAUUUUGGCCCUGAAAUGAAGUGAUUCUUUGCUGCUGUAAUUGUACCUAGGCAACACUCUUACUGACAAAAUUAUGUACUUCCCUACCUCCUUAUAGCACUAUAAUCCAAAUUGCUGUGUUGGCAAAACAAAUGGCAAAGUUACAGAAGAGAGCUUAAGCUGAUCUAAUAGCAGAUUGCUGCUAGAAGAGGAGCAUACCCCCCCUUUGCCUGCCCUUAACCAUGACUAUUCUGCUUCCCCCUUUGUGCCAGUCUUCAGCCUGCUUGGGAUCCUUCAGUUGAAUGCACUGGACCAAAGAUUUGAAAUAUGAAACCUAAAGUGAAAAAGUAAAAACCUAAAUCCACACAGAGAAAAAAAGAAUGAGAUUUUUUUUUUUUUGACCACACUGAUCAACAGAGGGUGGAAUUCAGUACAUGGGAAGGGACGGAAUGCAGAGUGAAAAUGAGAGCUGCAGUGAGGAUGGGAACAGCAUAAAGGAAGAAAAGAGAAAGGAAGGAGGGAGAGGAGAGCAAUGGGCUGUCAUUUAAGCUGUGGAAAUUCACCUUCCUGCAGCCAAAUCGCAAGGUGAGAGACCUACCCUCUACCUUUUGUCUUUGCUGGAGACCUCUGCCAUUCAUUUGCAAAUGGGUCUGGCAAGAAAAACAGCCACAGCACCCCCCUACAUGCAGGAACACGGGGCACACGUGGCAUUUAGGACCCCUGCUCCAGGCAUCUGGAUUAAGCUGUUGGCCUCAGCCUACCGAGUACUGCUGCUGGACACAUUCGUGCACAAAGAUCUGGGGAGAAGCAGGGAGUUAAGCUCUGGGGCAGGGAGGAAACGAGCUGAAAUGAAUGUAAGAAGCAGUGUUUUCAGGCUGCAAGACAUGUAAUAACUAACCUGAACAAAAGCUCUCUAUCCCAGCAAGGUGUUAAUUAUAUGCCUUGUCUUUCUGGAUAUGUGCGAACAGGGUCUCUUUGCCCACUGGGAACAAUAGGUGUAAUUAUUAUUUAGUUGGAAAGGGAGGAAGCCCAGCUGCCUUUAAUGCACAGGAUCAAAUGAAGGCCAAUAAAGUGUAUGCACAUGUGGCCUGCACUCUGUGGCUUAGUGUAACCUGCGGAGUUUGCCAGUGUAAUUCUAGGGUGUGGAAAGAAAUCGACUCCCUCACUGCUGGCAAAGCGCUGGUGUAGACAGAGCUCUGCUGAGAGAUGAGUGUUUCUGACAGUUUAGCGUGUCUGGGUACGUAGGUGGCGUUGCCGUAGGCUGAAAUUCCCUUUGGUGGUACAGGCCAUGUCUCCGCUCGGGGGUUCAACCCAUGCUGCUCCGCGGCAGUAGCUCUCACAGGACAGGCAAGGACAAUUACACCAUUUGUUGUUGUUCUUCUUCUUACUGCAAGAUAUCUCCUAGCCUGGGACAACGUUUUUUAUGCGUUAGUUUGCUGAUGUUCCAGACGUAUUACAUGGUACAGCAUAUGUUUGUCACAGCUGAGCUCUGUGUUUCAGACUCUGGAUAAGCAGUGUCGUAGGGGAACAAAAUCUAUGAGGCUGAAGCAGGAAAGUAUUUAUGCCAGAAGGGGAUGCAGAACUGCUCAGGUCUGCUGGAGGGAGGUGUGGAGCUGCAUCCUGAGGACCUUGUAGAGACAGAAUCAUAGAAUGUCCUGAGUUGGAAGGACCCACAAGCAUCAUCGAGUCCAACUCUUGUCCAUGCAUAUGACAACCCCACAGUUCACACCCUGUGUCUGGGACCGUUUUCCAGUUUCUUCUUGAACACUGUCAGGCUUGGGGCUGUGACGCCUCCCUGGGGAGCCUGUCUCAGUGCUCCACCACCCUCUGGUUGAAGAACCUUUUCCUAAUGUCCAACCUGAACCUCCCCUGGCACAUCUUCUUGCCAUUCCCUUGAGUUCUAUCACUGGUCACUAAAGAGAAGAGUUUGGCACCUGCCCCUCUUCAUCCCCUUGUGAGGAAGCUGUGGACCACAAUGAGGUCUCCUCUUAGUCUUCUCCAGAAGAGAAGAGGACAACUCCCUUGAACCUCUGUAUGUGCCACCCUCCCUCCUGCCAUUCCAGAGCUAAAUUAGAAGAUAAAUCUCAAAAACCAUCGUAAGACUGUCCAGGUAGGGACUGAUACUGCUCUGUCUCCAGAGGUAUCUGUGGUACUCUCCCUGUGCAGGACAUCUCCUAUGCAGAACAAUCCCCUGGCACAAAGCUGCCCAGCCCUGCUCCCUGUGACAAACCCUAGAUGCUGCUCACCACCUCUUCAGCACACUCUAGUACAGUGUAUUCCUCCAGCCUGCUCAUUUGCUCUUUCACUUUGGGAUCGAGAGAAUUUUCCCCCUCCUGGCUGAGUGCAAAAAGUGUGGACCUUUAUGUCAACAUCCUUGCUGGCUCUGAUUUCAAGAGCUGACUGUCAUCAAGCGUGAGUGUCACCAGGGAGCUUUCUGCUAGGUAUGGUCCAGACAACUGCUUGGACCGAUGACUUAUGUGCAGCUGUAGAAGAACACGGAAACCUUCUCUGCCAGAAUGCUAGAGGAAUUUCUAGGUUUAACCCUCCAUGGAGUACCCUAGGCUUUGAAUGUGAAUAAAAAGGCAUCUUCUGGUAAACGAGAUUAAUUUUAUUAGGAGGGAAAAUGUAAGAAAAGUUAGCAUUGAAUUUGUUCACAAGUACAGUAAGUGUUGGUUGGAAAAAAAGCAUAGAGACCACAUUAUGGAUAGCUUAAACAACCCUGGCAAACUGAAAUCUGAGAGUGCAAACAUAGAGCACAGAUCUUUCUGCUCCCUCCUCAAAGCUUAAGGACUGGGCAAAGAGGUGUUUGAUGAAAGUUUCUUUCCCUUUGCUAAAUGCAUGCUUUUCCUGAAGAGGUGCCAUGUAUAAAGAAAGAAUCAUGCUAAAGGCAUAAUUUUGUUUUCCGAGUCAAUGUUUCAUUUGCCUCCUCUUAGAAUAUACAUUUCUUUGCUUAUGAUCUUGGCAUGGUUGUGCAUAUUUGCUAUUCUCUUCAGGGGUGGUUUGCUUUGUUGUCAUAGCAAUGCCUUCUAACUCUUGCACUCACCAGUUUCUUUUCAGGUUCCUGCAGGCUGCAACCAGUCCCUCAUUGUGAUGAUCACAUCUCCUAGCAGCUUUAACACCUUUUUUUUUGAUUCUCCUAACUAUAGGCACAUUCAGUAGCAGGAUUCCAAAGAAUUCUGGCCCAAACAGGUUUUCAGCUUGAAGUUAGAAACAUUAAAAAAAGGCAAUAACAUUGUUGGUUUCUGUUUGGGGUUUUCAUUGUUCUAGUGAUGACCUAAUAUUUCAACAUUUUUAUUCAUUCAACUUCUUAGCUUUUCUUGGACAGGAGCUAUAAUUGCUUUGGUGAUCUGACUAUCAGAGAUGAGAUGCACCAGGCUAAUCAAUGUGGCCUGAGGUCUGUUUUUCCCUAGGCCAUGAUCACAAUUGCAAAGUGAGGCUGGGACCAGGCCCCUUUCCCUGUGCAGUCUGUCUCAACAGCUUUGCUUCUGCAAAGCUCCACUUCUAGAGGCUCAUUGCCUCCCCUUGUGUCCAGCUCCGCCUUGAAAGGCUGGUGAGGCAGAGCUCUUCAGCUGUUCACUGCUAAGCCAGGCAAGAAAGUGUUUGAAGCUACAUGAGUGGGGAAGUCUAAAUGGAUUUCUUAAACCCUCUCCCCUCAUCCAGGUCACUUUUAAAGUAUGGAGUAAAUCAUCCCAGCCAUGGAAUGUUGCUGGACAUGGGCAAAGUGGGAUGAGAACUCAACUUUGCACUCAGCCUUUGGGCCCAGCUUUGUUGCGGGCUUUCCCCUCCUUGAGCAAGUCACACCCUCCAUUCUGCAGGUCAGCACAGCCAGGGCAACAGGCUGAAAGUGUUUUCUGCCUGAUGUGGGAGGGCAAAAUCCUUCCAAGCCCAUCUAGGUUUAGGUGCCCCCAUAUAAGGGAUGGUGACAGAUACAAUGGAGGGAGAGCAUAGACCGUCCUUGUAAUUUCUACUGUCCCUGGCAGACCAUAGCAGGGAGGAUGGUGGGCUUGGAGGUGCUGCUCAGCGGUUGCCCUGAACUAAGGCAGGGAUGCUCCUUCGAGCAAUAUGCCUGGAUUUUAAGAACGUGAGCAUGGUUCAACCUUGUAUUACACCUCCUGUGUGUUCUGCAGCUGCUGGUUUUACACAUAUAUGGGAAACGCUUUCAUGGGAUGGGGUGAUUCUGCGAUCUUCCACUGCACAGCUCUCACACGUUUUGUUGAUGCAAGCCGUGUAUUUGAGAGGAUACACGAGGCUUCCAAAGUAGUGAGCCAAAGGAACCGCAGCCUAUAUGCUCACCCCAAGUAUUUCCCUGAGACAGAUUAUUACAGGCUUGCAUUCUACCCUUGCCACACAGAAUACAAAUCCCAGAACAGAGAUGGCUCCUGGUCCAAAGAGCUUUGUUCAUCGCACAGUGGCUGUAUGAGGUUACUGGCUAAUACUCUGUUGCUGUUGGAAUUAGUUUCAAUAUGAAUCAAUACAAUUUUUUUUUUAGCGCAGUAAGCGCAUAUGCUAUACAAUUGAAAGCAAUUUUAAAGUAACUUGUGCUUAAAUGAAACUCCUCUUGGGUUUCAGUUCCAAAGUGACUAUCAGGCAUGAUCAUUAGUUAUUUGCUGUCUUUGUAAACAUUCCAUUCGUUUGGAUUGUUGUUGUUUUUUAAAUCAAAGAUGUUUCAUUUUUUUUUCCUUUUUCCCCAAAGCAGGAAUAUUUAUCUUUGAAUCCUCCAACAGCUUUGGAAUGCAGCCUCCACACAGACUUUAAUAGCAAAACCCACUUCUUCUGACUCAGGGACCAUUUGAUGAAAUGUCUAGAGAAGCAAAAAGCAGCAACAAAAAAAGCUUUACACAGAUGCUUCCCUGUGACUAACAGAACGUCCACCCAAAGCGGAGAGAGUAUAAGUGCGUUUGUCAUAUGUGGGUGUAUUUUUCCCAUACAUUCAUUUUUAAAGCUAUGCAGUAGAGCACUAUAAAAUUAUAGUUUUACAAAUAGGCAUUAUUUGACCGUCACUGGGCUGAGCUGAUGACUCACUCUGUGACCUCCAUGCAAGUCAUUUGAUUUUCUUGUUCCUCAGUAAGACUGGCUGGGAAACAGGCUGGAAAAAGAAAAGACAAAACCAGAAAACAUUCCUGACAAUAUGUUCCCUACCUAAGCUUUGUGUGUUGACUGGAAACACAACGUUGGAAAUAAGAGCUUUACAGCUGUUGGCUUGAUGUCUGUGCCCAGCCCUGUAGGAAUUGUGGGUGGCCAGUGUCUUUGAAAAGCAUGCUCUAAAAAUGGGUUGUGGUGUCUGACCUAUUCUAAAACAUUAGCAGCAGAAGACUUGCAGUCAGCUGCCAAUGUCAUUAUAGUGUCCCAUUGUCAUUGUGGUGUGAGCUGGGUCUUUUAGCAACAUAAAUGUACCGUCUCCAGAUGCACUUGGAAACGUUAGCCUUAUAACACAGAGCUUAUGGGCUUCAGCAUAUUUCCAGACAUCUCUGUCCUCAUUGUUUACUUUCUGAUACCAGGCUUCUCUUUGACCUGAAAGCUACAUAUUUGCACAUAAACACCUUUUUUAAUGAAAAUAGUCUCCUUAUGUCCAGAAAGCAGUAUAGUUGUAUAGUUUUUCCAGGGCCCAAACUGUUAAUUCAUCCAACCCAUGCAGUAUUACCAGCAUUUUGAACACUUCCUCACUGUUCAAAAGUUGUGGGGCAAAUCUUAAAGAAUUACUAGGUCGUUCUGGUUUUAAAGACCCAGUGUUCACCAGCCAAAUCUGGGUGCAUUUUCUGGCUUUUAUUUAAAGCACAUCUAUGGUAUGUUUUUGAAGUCUUCUUUGCAUAGGAUAGCAAGAAGGAGAAAAUAACUUUCUUUAAUGACACUGGGGACUGUACGCGAUCUUCUGGCUCCAGGGAUUGGGGCUUAAACAGUGAAGCUUGGAGAGGCCUGUCUGUUUUGCCUCUGUCUUUGUUUUACAUAUGUUUUCAGUUUAUUUUCCUGUUGCUAUUCGUUGCUUUUUUACUUUGCUUUCAUCACACUUUCCCUUCAGUUUUCACCCAAGGGGCCUUGAUCUAUUUUGAGGAGGACAAAGCAGUUAUCUUAAAAUCUCAUUAAAUUUAUUUUGACUUCUCAUUUCUGGUUACCAAUUACGUGAACCCCUCCUUCCAACCUGCCAUCUAGUGGAAUUGACACCUAGGAACAGAGAUGUUAAGCUUUCCAUCCAUACAGAGUGACUUAUUAGGUGUCAACUGUGAAGCAUCUAUACCAUACCUUGAAGGCACACACUUGCUUCAGAGCUGACUCAUGACUGACAAGCCAAAUCUACUGGAUCUAAGUGCCACAGCCAAAGAAAUAAUUGCCCUUCUUAGUGCGCAUUGCCUGUCCGUCAUUUCUGGCAUUUCUGCAGCAGGGUUGGAGGCCGAGGCUCAUUUCUCUCUGUUUUGAGGCCCAGGGCAUGGUUUGGCAUUUAGAUUACGCAUCUGAUGGGGACAGGACAACGACACCAGGUGAGCAAAGACAGCAUUUCCCUACGCAGCUGUCCUGCUGGCAGGAUUUUCUUGCUGGCCCCAGUUGUAGCUGUCCUUGUUCAUUGUAGUCGGCUGCCUGGGACUAGACAGGGAUCCAUGACGUGGGAUGGAUGAGACUUGCAGAAGGAUCAAUGUGAUGGACAAGCUUGCUGAGCAAUGGAGCUUAUGAAGCGAUGGUGAAAUCAGCCCCAGAAGGGUGACUCCUCUUUCUUCUGAACAUGUAAACUGCUGAAGAUGAGUCACAAUCCCAGCUGUUUGGAAGGAUGGGGGGCUGGAAUGAAAUACAGUAACAAUUAGAAAAAGAGAAAUGUACUGAAUAAGAGCCUCCUCCAUUCCAUUUUCCUCACGGAUGUUAUUGAUUCAUCACUCUAGCGGUCCUGGCUCGCACCCAGGAUGCAAAGGACAUAGUAUAGGUUGUCUGGAGGCAGUGGCUAUGGGAGAUAAGGAAUAUUCCUGUUCAGUAUUUUGCACAGGAAACCUUCUGGUAUGUGUCCUACCCAAACUGCUUAUGUAGAAUGACCAAAUGUAUCACAGGGAAAGAAUCAUGCUGUUUUGGAUUCCCGUGCUGUUUGAAGGUGGCUGUUACCAAGUGGGUAGGAUCAGUCACUGCAAGUAGCUGUUCCAGAAGCAGCUGAGCAGCUGAUGCGGCGAAAGCUGGUUCCUAUGCGACUUUAUCCCAUGUCUCUCUGUAUACACAGCCCUAUAACUACACCCAAGGCAUCACAGAGCCCCACACAACCUCCAAUUCUCCCAAUCAUCAUGUAAGUCCCACCUGCUUUCCUAUACCACAGUGGCAGCAAGCACUUGCAGUGGGAAAGCUCAAAUAACCAAUGUAUAGGUUGGCUGGUGUGUGCACUCUGCUGGGUCACCCCAGGAGCCAAAGGGGUGACUGUGGAACAACAUGGUCUUUCCUAAAACAGGGGCAUUCAUUUGAGUGUCUCUUCUUGGCCCAGUGCUGAUUUUCAUUAAGCUCGGUGAGGUUGCAAAGAUAUUAUUUUCCUGCCUCUCUGCCAAAUUUAGCUGGAAUUGGCCAACAGGUUUAAAAGCAUUUGAAUGGGGGAGGAAAAUGAGAAAGGAGAGGAAAACAGACAGCAGGAUCACAUAAGCCUCAUUUCAUUGGGAAGCCAGGCUAAAAAAAGAGAGUUUAACUCCUAGCUAUUAAAAUUUUUGGAUUUGUCUUGAACACUUAAUUACACAAAGAGAGCUGGUUUUUAUUCAGACAAUAAACAGGUGUCAUCACUGGAUAUGUUUGAGAGGUUGUUUUUCUUUUAUCUAUGUGACUGAAAGGAAGAAGGAAAAAAAUCUUGAUGCUUAUAUAUUUGAAAGGAGAAAGUGGAGGAGUAGAAAAGAUUAUGAGCAAACAGAGGGGGCAAUGCUAAUCAUAUACACUUAAAAUCAUUUUUACCAUGGUAACAAAAAAUAGCCUCCCCUAGAAUGCACUUGAAUCUACAGAACCAAUAAAAACAAAGAUAGUGAUGAAGUUUGUCUUUUUUAGAACAUAAUUCGUGGCAGCUCCAAUGACAUUCUUAAUGGAGUGUGAUAUUCCCCUCUCAAAAAUCACUUUUUGAAAAUGGAAGGUGUUAAACUCUUUUAAUCUUCACUUCCAACGGUAGCCAGCAAAAUCUGAUCCAGGGAGUCAAUUAGAAAGGAUUCUCCUGUGCACCAGGUUUAAUUGUCUCCUCAUUGUGCAUUGAAUCACUAUGUUACUCUUCUAACUUCCUGCAUAGGAUUGUUAAAUCUUCAUUUCCAGAGGUACUAAACAAACAUUGAGUUGUACAAAACCAGUACUGUUGCAUCUGUCUUGUAAUAAUGAACAUGGUCUUGAAAAGGAAGGGGGAUUCUUGGAUUUAAACUCAGUCUUAGGGAAAACUUCGCCCCCAGCAGUUACAUUUGCUGGUGAAUACAAGUAUGCGUAAGCAGAAACUUUGUGUGGUUCUUGUGUGGAAGAAGCUACGUAUGAAAAAAGGAGUGAAUCUAAACCCUAGGGUCUGUGUCUGACUACUCUAAGCCAGCUGUCUGAAAGGAAAUGGUCAAAAUUUUGUCAAUCGUUAAUGAAAAAAUUGUUUUCCAGAUGUUCAUAAUAACCCUGUGAAUAUAUUUAAAAAAGGGGAAAUCUGAGUCCUUCCUGAGGACCAGGACUUGCCACUCCUGUUUCACUGACAUCAGCAGGACUCCUUGUGUCACAGAGGGCAAAUAUUUUCUGAGAGCAGAUUCCUGUUCUGAACCCUCCUACGUCAUUUACGUACACACUAUCAUUACUGGAUUGCUCAGAGGCUGCUGUGGGUGACCUUUCUUCCCAUCUCCCCCACACUUGUCAUCACAUGUGUGUGAGCCUCUGGGACUCAGAACUGGAGUAGUAACGCAUGUGGUCUGGCCUGGAUCUAGAUGUUAUGUACGGCAGGGGCAGGAGGCCUCUUCUAGGAUCACCAAAACAUCUUUAGUGAAAGGCUGGUUUAGCAAAAGGACACCUUUCUUAUGAGGAAAGACUGAGAGAGCUGGGUCUGUUCAGCCUGGAGAAAAGCAGGCUGUGAGGAGACCUUAUUUAGGCUUAUAAAUAUCUCAAGGGUGGUUGUCAACAGAAUGGGACCAGAUUCUUUUCAGUGUUGCCCAUCAACAGGAUGAGGGGCAAUGGGCACAGACUGAAACACAGGAGGUUCCAUCUGAAUAUGAGGAGAAACUUCUUCACUUUGAGGUGCCAGAGCCCUGGAACAGGCUGCCCAGAGAGGCUGUGGAGUCUCCUUCUCUGGAGACAUUCAAACCCAGCUGGACACAUUCCUGUGUGAUCUGCUCUGGUGAAGCUGCUUUAGCAGGUGGGUUGGACUGGAUGAUCUCCAGAGGUCCCUUCCAACCACAACCAUUCUGUGAUUCUGCUGGUGCUAUAAUUAAUACAUUUGAAAGGGUCAUUCAGGUUGGGAAACAACCAGAGAGUGACAGCCCAGAAGGACACUCAUUCUCUUCUCCAUCUGGCUGGACCUAUGGAAAGACAAUACUUCUGUCACUUUGAUGGAGUUGUCGGUCUAGCAUCCGCCACAGGCUUCAAGGAAAAUCUGCUGGCUGAGCUCAGCCUACCAAUUCAGACUGCUUGAGCCAGCCCGUCUCAUUGUGCCUGAAGUGAAUUAGGAAGAACUUAAGUAAGGUGUGACAUGUACAGAUUCAGAUGGUGGUAACCCUCUAGCAGGCAGGAGCUGGCAAUUAAGUGGGAGGUAGAUUCCUCUUCCAGCUGAGCAGCUGUUUGCAUCCCAGCCAGGUCUUUUAGUCCUAAUGUGUAACUGCCUUCCAGGAGUCAAUUGAGCAGGUGUGGAAGCUGCUGAGCCUUGCAAGAGACAUACUUUAGGAUCAAAUCGUUGCGUUUAGUAAUUUUUGGAAGAAUACUAGGUCCAGAUGGGGGGAUUUAAUAAAGAUGGUACCUUUACCUCAACACUGAGUCACCAUAGGAUGUUGCUGCACGUUCCUAGCAACAGGAGAUAGCAGGCAUCCUGCUGGAUUUGGGUUUUUUUCACUGCUCAGAAGACACAGUGAAAAAUAAGUUGGACUAAUGACCAGUGGUGUCACAGGAGCAGAGCAGAAUAAACUGGACAUGGAAAGGAAGAGUGUUGUAAAGCAGAGGAGUGAGGCCCUGAGCAGCCUCCCAGAGCGGGAGCCUCCCAUGCCCUGAGUGCCAGAGGAGGCCAGAGCUCUGCAGGAGUCAUAGGAUGUCCUGAGUUGGAAGGACCCACAAGGAUCAUCGAGUCCAACUCCCAUCCCUGCACAGUUCAACCCCACAGUUCACACCACGUGUCUGAGGGUGUUGUCCAGUCUCUUCUUGAACACUGUCAGGCUUGUGCUGUGACACUUCCCUGGGGAGCCUGUUCCAGUGCUCCAUCACCCUCUGGGUGAAGAACCUUUUCCUAAUAAUGUCCAACCUAAACCUCCCCUGGCACAUCUUCCUGCCAUUCCCUCAGGUGGCGUGGUUGGUCGCCAGAGAGAAGAGCUCAGCACCUGCCCCUCCUCUUCCCCUUGUGAAGAAGCUGUAGCCACCAUGAGGUCUCCUCUCAGCCUCCUCCGGGCUGAACAAACCCAGGGAACUCAGCUGCCCCUCACACGGCUGCCCAUACGGAGAACCCGCCGCUGCGGAGGUGAGGCAGCCGGCACCCAGGAGGCCCUUUCGGUCUCCAAACCAAGUGCCUAAACUCUCCCUUUUACACAGACCGUUACUGAGGCCUCGGGUCUGCGUAGGGGAAAUGCCAGGGAAGAAGCAGCGGCCCUGGGGGGCAGAGGGCGGCCGGCCGGCCCCCAAAGCCGCCUCCCGCCGACCUUGCAAGGGCGCGGCGGGGCGGCCCCCGAGCGGCUCCGCCACAUGGCGGCCGGUCGCCCGGCGGCGCCUUUCCGCGCCAAGUAGGCGCCGCAGCCGCCGUCAGGUCGAGGCCGGCGGGUCACGGGCAGCUCCAGUGAGCCACCACCCCGCCGCUGCCGCCGUCUCUCCGCCGCUGCCUCCCCCGCCUUCCCGCCGGAGCGGUGGCGGGUCCGCCCCCGCGGGGUCCCGGCCGCUCCGGCCCUGUCUGAGGGGCGGGCGACAUCUUGUGGCCACGGGCGCGCCGGACCCCUGAGCGGCCAAGUGUGUGUGCGGGGGUGUCUGUCACCCCGACUCCCGUCGUUGUCCAUCAUGCCACCCGCCCCUGCCUCUGCUUGAAGGGUUUUCUGCGGUGGAUCGCUGCACUGCUCUGCUCGAAGAGGUCUCCACGUGGAUUUGGACGAAACCAUGAUGUGAAGGCUCAUGAGUAAACAUGACUUAUCAACUGCUGUUCCAGUCCUCCUCAUGACAGAGCUGAGAAGAUUCUCCAGAUACUUCUCUUCUGGCACCAUAUGUCUGAUGCAGGAAGUAUCUGAAGAUGGAUGAAAAGCUGCAGAUAUCCUGGUGCAAAACAAAAGAAGCUUCAGAACAUCUCAAAUGAUGGAGCUGGAGUGUUACCCAGAUAUCUCAGAGAUGGUGCGGGGUACCUGGUACUUUUGGAGCAUCUUCUAGACUCCAGGAAUUUCAUAGUGUCGUGCAGUCUCAAAAUACUGUCUGGUGGCUGAAGAGGAGUGGCUGAAGAUGAGCAACUCAUCAUUAAACACUGAGAAGUGCAAGAGUUGGGAACAUACAAAUAUAUACAUAGUCGCUUUUUUUUGCUUGACAAGAGAUACAUCCUUCUAAGUAUCAGGGUUGGAACUGGUAAAAGAGAAAGCCGUUGUACUAGGAGGGAUACUACCAUACUGAAAACAAGUUACUAGAGGAAGGUCACGCGGGUGAGUUUUGACACUGGGUUUGGUUGGAGAUUUUUCUUUAAUGAUGCUGGCAUGAAAAUUGGAGCAUGCUUGUAUUGACAGCAAAAAAUGAGAUGCACUGGCAAUCUACUUAAAUCUUCCGUGGGAAAAGAUAGUCUUGAGAAAGUAAGUGAAAGAAAAGGAAUUAAAUAUGCUAGUGAAAAAGGUAAAGUUGCACUUAUAAAUAUCCCUUUUCCAUUGAAAAUGCAUAAUUUAGAAGCAGGUAAGUAGGAGGGAGGCUGGAAUGUAGUAUUUGGUAUGGGAUGAUGGAAAAAUGUGAAGUAUCUCUGUAAAUGGUGUUCUUGGAUGAGAGAAAGGAGAUCUACCCUCUGUAGAUAACUCCGUGUGCUAAUUCUAGCCAACCGUGUUCAGGAAGGUGAAUCUGGAGAAGGGUUCCUAGGAUACCCAGGGUUUAUCUCCUGUGGGAGUGUAGUUUGUUCAGCCUAGUGAAAGCAAGGCUGAAAGGGAAUAAAAUUAUCCUACAAUCAUGAGUAUCACAGUAUCACAGUAUCACAGUAUGUUUGGGAUUGGAAGGGACCUCAAAAGACCAUCUAGUCCAACCCCCCUGCUGGAGCAGGAACGCCUAGGUGAGGUCACACAGGAACAUGUCCAGGUGGGUUUUGAAUGUCUCCAGAGAAGGAGACUCCACAACCUCCCUGGGCAGCCUGUUCCAGGGCUCUGUCACCCUCACUGAGAAGAAGUUUCUUCUCAAAUUUAAGCGGAACCUCUUGUGUUCCAGCUUGAUCCCAUUACCCCUUGUCCUAUCAUUGUUUGCCACCGAGAAGAGCCUGGCUCCAUCCUCAUGGCACUCACCCUUUAUAUAUUUAUAAACAUUGAGUAAAAGGUAGGAAAAUGCUAAUUAUGAAGUGAGAGCUAAAAAAUCACCAGCACAAAGCAAACCUGGGGGAACUUCGAAUUACGGAUUCAAGUGCCCAAAGGAAGGCGAUCAGACAUAUAAUACAUCUAGUCUAAAGCCAGAAGGUGGUUACUUGUCAUGAAAAAGGUUAGACCCUGAAACAGAUUUAAUAAGAGAAGGAUGUGCUUUCCGGGCCCUAUUCCUGCUUCAAGGCCUCCAAUACCAUCUUUAAGGAUGAAAUUCCUCUGUCCAUGUAGCCCACUUUUUAAAAAUAAUGUAGUGCUUUUAUCUUUUUUAGCUGAAAAGCUAGUAAGUAGCUAACUCCAACAUCAUCUGGUUAUUGCAGGUGUCUUGAAUCCUGCUUCUGGAAUGAUGUAAUCAAAAAUGGUGACAUGUAUGGUCAUGAGUGGUCAAGUCUUUUCUUGGAUAUUCGCUAAGAUUUUAUGGUCCUGUGGCUGGGUCAGUGGCUGUUACUGUCGCCUCUGCUGGUUUUGAAACUGCCUUUUUACUGUAGAGUUGUAAAAAAGUUUUGAGAUGGUGCUUUUUGUUCCUUUCAGAUAAAACAACUCUGGAACAGUUGUUAAUGAGUGAUUUUGUUUGUCUUUCCAACAGUGGUGUUGUUGUUAUUAUUAUUAUUAAUUAUUAUUAUUAUUAUUUUCUCCUGUCAUCUUACUCAGCAUCUUUCUUAAACAGCUGGUGGAGUUUGUGUGACAACUGGGACUCUCACAACAUGCUGUUGCACAUCGGCUUUAUACCAGAAGCAACUGACUCUGUCUCCAGCUUUCUGCCUUGCCUGGGAAAGAUCAGUACCUGGAUGAAGGCCAGUUGGCUGUAACUGAAACCCCUUCCACAAGAGAUAAAAAUGCCCGGGGAUUUGUCCAUCCGCAGAGAAAAAAAGCAAGAUUUGCUGUCUUUCCCACAAUCGGCCAAACUGCUGUUAGUGGGUGGACACAGAGAAACUCUUACACUUGGUGGAAGAGUGAUAGUUUCCUGGAUAACGUGGUGAUAAACACAGCAUUGAUACCUAGAGCUGGAAUUUUUAUAAAGCACGUCAUUCUGGCUUCUACCUACCCAGGCAGUGGGAGAAGCUGUGUAGAUUUCAGUGAAAGCAGAGAUUGAGUAACCUCUGAGUUAUUUUGAAAAGAAUGAAAGAAAAACUGAGCUUUUUUCCCAUUUUUUUUCCUUAGAUAUUCAAAGAAUAGGAAAACCUUUGCUCUCCAUGCUGAUUAAAAUAUUUCUGUAAGGUGACAGGUCUGAUCUGACUCCUGACUUGGGCACCCAGCCUGACCUUGGACCUGCCUUAUCACUGCAAGCUGUUGGAUGACCCUGGUUACCCUCCUGGGGCUGCCCUGCUCAUCUGGCUCAGUGUGCCUGGCUCCUCUGAUCUGAAGAGGAUGCUCUGCUCUCAAGCGAUACUUUUGGGAGGACGAUCCCCGUGAAGAUGCUUUCCUGCUUUCCUGCCUGGGCCCUGCAGAGGAAGAAACGUGCACAUGCUCUUCGUCGUUUCGAGAUUAUUUAAGAAACCGCCGCUAUUGAACUAGCAGGGGAUCUUUCCUUCUGUGACCUUUGCCAGAGCCGCUGAUUGGUGUGUCCCAGCUGCAGGAUGGAAUUUUCUUGGGAAAGUUUUAAGAGUGUCUGAAAAGUGACCAUCUCCUUUCCUAGCCCUUACUGACAUGUACGGGCUUUUCCUGGCCUUUCCAGCUCCAGCGUGGAAGGCGUUGUUUGUUUUCUUUUUGAAUGUUAUCCUGCCUUCCUCCUUUUUUAACAAAGCUGUAUAUACACGAAGACUUGCUGUGAAUUCAGCGUGGCACAUGGAUGGAGUGGCCGCUUUGAACUCCUUCUGCAACAAUGGAUUCCGCUUGACUGAUAAUAAAACCAUGGGAUAGACCUCAGGGAGGAAGACCACAGAGCAGCAGAUCUUGAAUCUGGGAAGCAUUUCCUGCAGGACCUUCUUCAGCCUGAGCCUGGGCCCAGCUCAUACUGAGACAAUGUGUUGGCUACAGCUGGAAAUCUUGUCUGAGCAGAGAGGAGCAAGCUGGCAGAUCUGAGUCAGUACAUUCAGAGGAUGCUCGUUUGCAGCAGAUGCUCCUGUAGAACUUGCCAAGGCUGACUCAUGGUUCUGUGGCAGCUUCUUGUCUUCAUUUUUCAGAGGUCCUAGAGGAGAUGAUUUCAGGAUUUGAGGUUCCUCAUUCUCAGCAGCUGUCUCCAGUAUUUGGGUGAAUGAGAGAAAGUUGCAAAAUGUUUUGUUGUUCUAUGCUGCCCUUCUCCUGAGUUGGUCCUGUGGGUUUUUUGGUGCGAGUAUUCGCGGUGAUUAACUGCGGCCAUCCCUUUGCUGACACCUCGCAACGGGAGCCCUCCUGCUCCGCGCCGUGCUCAGAGCUGUGUCACACUUCUCCUGCGCUGCGUGGUGAGGCAGCAAGCGGAAUGGAAUUACACACGAUGGCCCCGACGAGAUGAAAUGAGUGCUACUUAGAGAGUAAGUUAUCCCUCACUGUGAGCAUGAGUGGUAGAAUUUAGGUCUUUUGUUUCUGAAAACCAAUGUUUCUAAUUCUAUGCAUUUCAAUUCCGCAAACUGUUUUUCAUGGAAGGAGAGGGAAAUAAAACUUGCGAGGAUGGUGAGUUUUGCUUUGCUGCUGGUAAGCCUGGCACUACAAAUACUUUUUUGUAAAAAUAAACUCUGCUGACUCAUGCAAAGUAACACCUCGAUUUACACCAGUCCAAGAUUCAAGGCAUUCAAACUCCUCUGUGGGAAGGAAAUGCAUUAAGGCAAGUGAGCAGGAAUUCCUCUCUUUAUGUUUUCCUUCACUGAAUCAAAUAAUUAUUUGGGUUGGAAGGCACCUUAAUGAUCACCUAGUUCCAAUCCCCAUUGCCAUGGGCAGGGACAACUUCCACUAGACUGAGUUGCUCAAAGCCCAUCCAGCGCUUUCAGGGAUGGGGCAUCCACAGCUUCUCUGGGAAACCUGUACUUCUGGUGCCAACCUGAAAUCUCUGAGACUUCUUAAAGCCAAGAGAAGCUCAGAAGCAGAUGGACUUUAUUUUUAUAUGUACAAGGCAGUUCCAUGUCGUCUUCCUUCCUUGUCUUCUGUGGUCCAUCUGUGAAACAGACCAUAGGAGGGAAGCACAGGGAGUGGGAGAUCAGCAUAGUGGGAAGACAAAAACAAUGAAACCUCAGUGAAUUGGUGAGGGAAGACAGGGAGACAUAAAGAGUCUGAAGAGAGCUGUGGAUGAGCCAGGGGAAAAGGAAGGAGAACAUAGUGUCUGAACACCCGAAAGAAAAGAAGGGGCUGCAGUACCAUAGGCCAGUUAGGCAAAAGUGAGAAAAUGAAUUAAUGGGGAGAACAGCAACAAACUGAUGUAGUUUGCAGCAUGCAGAAUUGGGAAGAGUUUUCAGAAAGGAAAGGAAUACGUUUUGCCACUUGUGUUUGUAUUGAGUGGCACCUUAAUCUCUCAAUGGUUUGCCUGUCUUCUCAGUGGAACAACCAGGGAAAUCAGGUGUAAUUCAGAGUGAACGAGAGAGGCAGUGUCUGGCUCUAAAUUUGCUGUGUUCCUUCUGCUUUGUAUCAAUGCCACAGAACAAAGUUUUGUAUUAGGGAAAUUAGGGCCCUCACUAAGAAUGUCUAUCACAUCAGAUGAUGUAUUACUGUUCCACCCCCCCAGUCUUGAACAUCCAAAACCAACUUGCGUGGACAUGUGGGCAGGUCCUAAGCUCUGCUGAAUGAAAUUUAGUGUUCCGUGG